AAAACAAAAUAAUUCUCUCUGAGUUGUCCUCUGCUUCUCCUCUCUCUCUCUCUCUCAGCCUCUGUUCCAAAUUCAGUCCACUGCUAAAUCUCCUCUCCGCCACAGAAGCGAAGGGCCCGCCACAGUGAUGCCGUGAACCUCCGCCGUCGCCGCCCAGCCGUUGAUGACUUAAUCCCCCGGGCCGGGAUAAUGGAGUACCGACGGAGGCUCGCGAUUAUCAGCAACCAUCUCCGCCCCCCCGUUGCUCUUCCCUGUUCCAGCUCAGGUUUGACUCCUCUGGCCGCUUCCAAUUGCUCCUUCGACAACGACGAGGAGCCGAGGUUGAAUGACGGGGAGAAGAGGAAUUCGAAGAGAGACUGCGUCUUCUGUAAGAUUAUCCGUGGCGAGUCCCCUGCCUUCCGUCUUUAUGAAGAUGACAAGUGCUUGUGUAUUUUGGAUUCAAAGCCACUAACUCCCGGGCACUGUCUUAUCAUACCAAAAUCUCAUUAUUCUUCCUUGGAAGCAACUCCUCCAUCUGUGGUAGCUGCAAUGUGUUCAAAAGCACCUUUCAUUGGCAGUGCAGUAAUGCGAGCCACCAGUUGUGAUUCCUUCAACUUGUUAGUUAACAACGGUGCUGCUGCAGGCCAAGUUAUAUUUCAUACUCAUAUCCACAUCAUCCCACGUAAGACAAGCGACUGUCUAUGGACCUCCGAGAGUUUGCGAAGGCGGCAGUUGAACUUCGACCCGGAGGCUUAUCAACUCGCGGAGCGAGUUCGGGAAGAGAUGUCGUUAUCGAACGCAUCCGAAGAGAGCAAAGGGAUCGGUCCUCUGGGAUGCACCCGACCAGCACGCAGGGCAGAGCCUUACGGGAUCAGAGCAAACUCUGCUCCAUGAACCCAACAGAGUUGCCCUUUCUCACGGUCAAGGGACGACUGCCCCUAUGAGGAUUCAAAGACGGCCAUCUACGGCGUCGUCGAAGCCCACCCAACAGCAUGGGACGGCAAUGUUGGCAUUGACCGGAACAGUUGCCGGAACUGGAUUGACGGUCUGGUGGUACGGGCUGAGCCACUUGUUCUGCAUGUAACGGCUCUUCCUCCACGGCGGAACUGAGAGGCCUCUGCUCUUCAGAGAUCUCUUGGCCGCUCUGCUCAUCUCUUUCACGAUCGCCUUCAGGACAUCGCCCUGGCCGAUGAAGACCCUCGGCAGGGUCUGCAGCAGCCUUGAGUACUGGCUCGUCGGCCUUGCAAUCUCGAAUUGGGAGGCAAAGUCCAGGUCAAUGAGGUACCGGCUCUCCCCGCCUAAUCCUGGCAUAACCACGUCGAUGAACUCGUAAUUGCCGGCAGUCAGGCUGCCAGAGGACUCCCACCUUGUCUUGCAGACAGCAGCAUUGUGGCCGCUCUUCUGUAAAAAGACCACCACCCUUUGCCGGAGAAGAGCAGCGCCACUGAGCAUCAUCCCGCUUGGAAACACCUUCAUCGCCUCUAAAAUGUGAUCUUGCAGGAGGUUUCUGUAAGAGUCUAAACUAACGGCUUUGGCCCACUGUUCCAAAACCUUCUCGAUCGCAUCCGUAGAGUCAGGGGGCGAGCCGGCUCGGUCUGAGUCAGACAAGUAACCACGCGUUGUUUCUGGCUCACCAUCAACGUCUUCCUCCAGAAAGCCGUAAACGAGUUCGGAUAGGCAGGGAGAUUGAUCAGCCUCGCUCCCGCUGCUGGCAGAGCUGAUAUGGCCGAUGAGUCGGGCCCGGACUCGGUCGUGGAUCGGGCCAGUGACUCGCUUAGUUCGAAUGAAACCUGCCAUUGAUAAUAAUCUCUCGAGAGAAGUGUGAAUCUGUGUUGUCAGCUUCAAUCGAGAGCAGAAGAAUAAAGCUAUAUAAAGCUAAUGCAUUCCUCCGUAGAAGAGCGAGAAAAGCUAUUUUUUGCA